rnacentral:lncRNA from 10 species
GGCCUGCCUAAAGUGCUGGGAUUACAGGCGUGAGCCACUGUGCCCAGCCUCUCUUCCUCUUUUUAAUAAAGCCAUAGUCCUAUCAGAUUAGGGCCUUACCCUAUGAACUCAUUUAACUGUAAUUAUCUCCUAAAGAUUCUCUCUCCAGAUACAAUCACAUUGUGGGUUAAGGCUUCAAUAUAUAAAUCUCGGGGGGACAUAAUUCAGUUGAUAUCAGUAACCGAAGUUACUGCCCAAGUAUUUUUUGAGCAUCUGUCUUAAUCAUUGCCCAAGUAUUUUUUGAGCAUCUGUUUUGUACUCAGCUUGAUCCAUGCAUUGUGAGAGCUGAAGGGUUGGGUGGGAAGAAGUACAAAAGAAGUAACUAAUAUAGUUCCUGUUUUCAGGAGCUUAUUGUCUUUUUGGGGAGGUAAGACCAAUAGGUUGUAAAUAAGAACAAAUGCUGUGAGGUAGAGUGAAUGCUGAGGGCACUCCAGAGUGACAGGAAUCAAUAAGGGUUGGAAGGGGCCAGGAAACUUUUAUGUAUUUAUUUAUUGAGAUGGGGUCUUGCUUUGUUACCCAGGCUGUAUUUUUUCAUUUUAUUUUGUUUUUUAACACAGUGUCUCGCUCCAUCACCCAGACUGGAGUGCAGUGGCAUGAUCUUGGCUCAC